rnacentral:rRNA from 1 species
ACCGGCAGCACAAAUGGUGGCCAUUUUUAUUGGGCCUAAAGCGUUCGUAGCCGGUUUGAUAAGUCUCUGGAGAAAUCCCGCAGCUAAACUGUGGUACUUGCUGGAGAUACUAUUAGACUUGAGGCCGGGAGAGGUUAGGGCUAAUCCCAGAUUAGUGGUGAAUUCCUAUAAUCCUGGGAGUAACACCUGUGGCGAAGGCGCCUAACUGGAACGAACCUGACGUUGAGUCACGAAAGCCAGGGGCGCGAAUAG